rnacentral:rRNA from 1 species
AUUGAACGCUGGCGGCAGGCCUAACACAUGCAAGUCGAGCGAGUGGCGGACGGGUGAGUAAUGUCUGGGAAACUGCCUGAUGGCGGGGGAUAACUACUGGAAACGGUAGCUAAUACCGCAUACCAUCGGAUGUGCCCAGAUGGGAUUAGCUAGUAGGUGGGGUCACGGCUCACCUAGGCGACGAUCCCUAGCUGUUCUGAGAGUAUGACCAGCCACACUGGAACUGAGACACGGUCCAGACGCCUACGGGAGGCAGCAGUGGGGAAUAUUGCACAAUGGGCGAAAGCCUGAUGCAGCAAUGCCGCGUGUAUGAAGAAGGCCUUCGGGUUGUAAAGUACUUUCAGCGGGGAGGCGUUACCUGCAGAAGAAGCACCGGCUAACUCCGUGCCAGCAGCCGCGGUAAUUC